rnacentral:rRNA from 1 species
UUAAGCGACUAAGCGUACACGGUGGAUGCCCUGGCAGUCAGAGGCGAUGAAGGACGUGCUAAUCUGCGAUAAGCGUCGGUAAGGUGAUAUGAACCGUUAUAACCGGCGAUUUCCGAAUGGGGAAACCCAGUGUGUUUCGACACACUAUCAUUAACUGAAUCCAUAGGUUAAUGAGGCGAACCGGGGGAACUGAAACAUCUAAGUACCCCGAGGAAAAGAAAUCAACCGAGAUUCCCCCAGUAGCGGCGAGCGAACGGGGAGCAGCCCAGAGCCUGAAUCAGUGUGUGUGUUAGUGGAAGCGUCUGGAAAGGCGCGCGAUACAGGGUGACAGCCCCGUACACAAAAAUGCACAUGCUGUGAGCUCGAUGAGUAGGGCGGGACACGUGGUAUCCUGUCUGAAUAUGGGGGGACCAUCCUCCAAGGCUAAAUACUCCUGACUGACCGAUAGUGAACCAGUACCGUGAGGGAAAGGCGAAAAGAACCCCGGCGAGGGGAGUGAAAAAGAACCUGAAACCGUGUACGUACAAGCAGUGGGAGUCCUCUUUAUGGGGUGACUGCGUACCUUUUGUAUAAUGGGUCAAGCGACUUAUAUUCUGUAGCAAGGUUAACCGAAUAGGGGAGCCGAAGGGAAACCGAGUCUUAACUGGGCGUUAAGUUGCAGGGUAUAGACCCGAAACCCGGUGAUCUAGCCAUGGGCAGGUUGAAGGUUGGGUAACACUAACUGGAGGACCGAACCGACUAAUGUUGAAAAAUUAGCGGAUGACUUGUGGCUGGGGUGAAAGGCCAAUCAAACCGGGAGAUAGCUGGUUCUCCCCGAAAGCUAUUUAGGUAGCGCCUCGUGAAUUCAUCUCCGGGGGUAGAGCACUGUUUCGGCAAGGGGGUCAUCCCGACUUACCAACCCGAUGCAAACUGCGAAUACCGGAGAAUGUUAUCACGGGAGACACACGGCGGGUGCUAACGUCCGUCGUGAAGAGGGAAACAACCCAGACCGCCAGCUAAGGUCCCAAAGUCAUGGUUAAGUGGGAAACGAUGUGGGAAGGCCCAGACAGCCAGGAUGUUGGCUUAGAAGCAGCCAUCAUUUAAAGAAAGCGUAAUAGCUCACUGGUCGAGUCGGCCUGCGCGGAAGAUGUAACGGGGCUAAACCAUGCACCGAAGCUGCGGCAGCGACGCUGAUGCGUUGUUGGGUAGGGGAGCGUUCUGUAAGCCUGUGAAGGUGUGCUGUGAGGCAUGCUGGAGGUAUCAGAAGUGCGAAUGCUGACAUAAGUAACGAUAAAGCGGGUGAAAAGCCCGCUCGCCGGAAGACCAAGGGUUCCUGUCCAACGUUAAUCGGGGCAGGGUGAGUCGACCCCUAAGGCGAGGCCGAAAGGCGUAGUCGAUGGGAAACAGGUUAAUAUUCCUGUACUUGGUGUUACUGCGAAGGGGGGACGGAGAAGGCUAUGUUGGCCGGGCGACGGUUGUCCCGGUUUAAGCGUGUAGGCUGGUUUUCCAGGCAAAUCCGGAAAAUCAAGGCUGAGGCGUGAUGACGAGGCACUACGGUGCUGAAGCAACAAAUGCCCUGCUUCCAGGAAAAGCCUCUAAGCAUCAGGUAACAUCAAAUCGUACCCCAAACCGACACAGGUGGUCAGGUAGAGAAUACCAAGGCGCUUGAGAGAACUCGGGUGAAGGAACUAGGCAAAAUGGUGCCGUAACUUCGGGAGAAGGCACGCUGAUAUGUAGGUGAAGUCCCUGCGGAUGGAGCUGAAAUCAGUCGAAGAUACCAGCUGGCUGCAACUGUUUAUUAAAAACACAGCACUGUGCAAACACGAAAGUGGACGUAUACGGUGUGACGCCUGCCCGGUGCCGGAAGGUUAAUUGAUGGGGUCAGCGCAAGCGAAGCUCUUGAUCGAAGCCCCGGUAAACGGCGGCCGUAACUAUAACGGUCCUAAGGUAGCGAAAUUCCUUGUCGGGUAAGUUCCGACCUGCACGAAUGGCGUAAUGAUGGCCAGGCUGUCUCCACCCGAGACUCAGUGAAAUUGAACUCGCUGUGAAGAUGCAGUGUACCCGCGGCAAGACGGAAAGACCCCGUGAACCUUUACUAUAGCUUGACACUGAACAUUGAGCCUUGAUGUGUAGGAUAGGUGGGAGGCUUAGAAGUGUGGACGCCAGUCUGCAUGGAGCCGACCUUGAAAUACCACCCUUUAAUGUUUGAUGUUCUAACGUUGACCCGUAAUCCGGGUUGCGGACAGUGUCUGGUGGGUAGUUUGACUGGGGCGGUCUCCUCCUAAAGAGUAACGGAGGAGCACGAAGGUUGGCUAAUCCUGGUCGGACAUCAGGAGGUUAGUGCAAUGGCAUAAGCCAGCUUGACUGCGAGCGUGACGGCGCGAGCAGGUGCGAAAGCAGGUCAUAGUGAUCCGGUGGUUCUGAAUGGAAGGGCCAUCGCUCAACGGAUAAAAGGUACUCCGGGGAUAACAGGCUGAUACCGCCCAAGAGUUCAUAUCGACGGCGGUGUUUGGCACCUCGAUGUCGGCUCAUCACAUCCUGGGGCUGAAGUAGGUCCCAAGGGUAUGGCUGUUCGCCAUUUAAAGUGGUACGCGAGCUGGGUUUAGAACGUCGUGAGACAGUUCGGUCCCUAUCUGCCGUGGGCGCUGGAGAACUGAGGGGGGCUGCUCCUAGUACGAGAGGACCGGAGUGGACGCAUCACUGGUGUUCGGGUUGUCAUGCCAAUGGCACUGCCCGGUAGCUAAAUGCGGAAGAGAUAAGUGCUGAAAGCAUCUAAGCACGAAACUUGCCCCGAGAUGAGUUCUCCCUGACUCCUUGA